UACGAAGGGGGCUAGCGUUGCUCGGAAUCACUGGGCGUAAAGAGCUCGUAGGCGGACUGUCACGUCUGCUGUGAAAAGCUAGGGCUUAACCCUGGCCUUGCAGUGGAUACGGGCAGACUAGAGGUAGGUAGGGGAGAAUGGAAUUCCCGGUGUAGCGGUGAAAUGCGCAGAUAUCGGGAGGAACACCGGUGGCGAAGGCGGUUCUCUGGGCCUUACCUGACGCUGAGGAGCGAAAGCGUGGGGAGCGAACAGG
rnacentral:rRNA from 1 species